rfam:Nelumbo nucifera unplaced genomic scaffold scaffold00114, whole genome shotgun sequence
AGGGUGGAAUGCAGCCAAGAAUGACUUGCCGACUGCUUAGAGCAACAGAAGGAUUCACCUAAAUUGCUUGUUGUCGGCAGGUUGUUCUUGGCUACAUAUUGCUCUCU